UACGUAGGGUGCGAGCGUUAAUCGGAAUUACUGGGCGUAAAGUGUGCGCAGGCGGCAGAGCAAGUCGAGUGUGAAAGCCCCGGGCUUAACUUGGGAAUUGCGCUCGAAACUACUUUGCUGGAGUGUGGCAGAGGAAGGUGGAAUUCCACGUGUAGCGGUGAAAUGCGUAGAGAUGUGGAGGAACACCAAUGGCGAAGGCAGCCUUCUGGGCCAACACUGACGCUCAUGCACGAAAGCGUGGGGAGCAAACGGG
rnacentral:rRNA from 1 species